rnacentral:rRNA from 1 species
GAUGAACGCUGGCGGCGUGCCUAAUACAUGCAAGUCGAGCGAACAGACGAGGAGCUUGCUCCUCUGACGUUAGCGGCGGACGGGUGAGUAACACGUGGAUAACCUACCUAUAAGACUGGGAUAACUUCGGGAAACCGGAGCUAAUACCGGAUAAUAUAUUGAACCGCAUGGUUCAAUAGUGAAAGACGGUUUUGCUGUCACUUAUAGAUGGAUCCGCGCCGCAUUAGCUAGUUGGUAAGGUAACGGCUUACCAAGGCAACGAUGCGUAGCCGACCUGAGAGGGUGAUCGGCCACCCUGGAACUGCGACACGGUCCAGACUCCUACGGGAGGCAGCAGUAGGGACUCUUCCGCAAUGGGCGAAAGCCUGACGGAGCAACUCCGCGUGAGUGAUGAAGGUCUUCGGAUCGUAAAACUCUGUUAUUAGGGAAGAACAAAUGUGUAAGUAACUAUGCAUGUCUGGACGGUACCUAAUCAGAAAGCCACGGCUAACUACGU